rnacentral:rRNA from 1 species
UACGUAGGGCGCAAGCGUUGUCCGGAAUUAUUGGGCGUAAAGAGCUCGUAGGUGGCGUGUCGCGUCUGCCGUGAAAGCCCAUGGCUUAACUGUGGGUCUGCGGUGGAUACGGGCAGGCUGGAGGCUGGUAGGGGCAAGCGGAAUUCCUGGUGUAGCGGUGAAAUGCGUAGAUAUCAGGAGGAACACCGGUGGCGAAGGCGCACAUCUGGCCCGAUACUGACGCUGAGGCGCGAAAGCUAGGGGAGCAAACGGG